GUGUUUUAUUUUGACUUUUAUUGAUUUUUUUCAUAUUCCACAUAAUGCAUCAAUUCCCAACCAUCUCCCUGUCCCCCACAUCUGCCCUCUGCCCUUGCAACAUUCCCCAAGCACAACACAAUUUAAGAAGAAAAACCAAAGGAAACAAAACUGAAACAACAAACCAAAAAAAAUGAACAAAAACACAACAAUUUUUCAUUUCCUCUUUAAGGGCCUUAAUAGUCUUCAUAAAGUUAUUUUUAAUGUUGUUUUCUUCAGCUUCAUCUACAUUGUGAUGUUCAGGUCUUGCUGCUGCAGCACCACUGGUUUCUGGUGCUGCCCUGCUGCUCUUUGUGUGUUGAGUGUAUUCUUACCUUUUCUGCCCAUCUCUUCUUCCAGUUGGUAGAGGUGGUGGUACCUGGGCUUCUGGGGGCCCCUCUUCCUCCACCAUUCCUUCCUCUACAGAUGGAUCCAAGACUCCAGUGGUCGCUCCUCCAGGUGUCGGUGGUGCCACGUCUCCAGCGACCCCUCUUCUAGGUGUAGUUGGGGAUGAGGGUGAGGGUCCAGUUCUGGUAGUCAGAUGUCUUCUGCUGUUCCCUGGCAUGAACGGGCAGUGAGGGCCCAUGGCAUGACUGGCUUCCACUGUCUCUCCCAGUUGGAGAUUUUAUUGAAGAGAAGAAUUCAACACAAGCUUAAGGAUAGGAGGUAAAAGAAAGAGGAGUGCUCAGAACAAAGUUCAGCCCACCCAAGAGGGGUUAUGUGCUUCCCAAGUGAGAGUAUGGGAAAGUAAGACACACGCAAGUAUGAAUACAGGUGUAUUCUCGGGGGAGAAGAAGCAAUAGAUUGCCUGGCAUCUGUCAGGUAUACAUUUUAGCAAUUCUGAAGUUACAUUCCAAAAGAUACCUAAGAACCAUUUUCCUCUCUCUCUCUCUCUCUCUCUCUCUCUCUCUCUCUCUCUCUCUCUCUCUCUCUUUCUCUUCUGGUAAGAGAGCUACAGGUGGCUCUAGGAUGCCUUGGGAUGGAGUUAUAGUGAGUGGAGGUAGAAUCAGAAGACACUGGUGUUGCACAAGGUUUUAGUGCAUGUCUAUCCAAAAAAUGAGCUUUCCAGGGAGGCUUCCAGGAAAGUGCUGGCAUGCAGCUGGGAAAAAGGGAAAAGGGCCUUGAAGAGCUGAUAACUGAGAUGAGUCCUGUUCUACUACAAUAAGAGGCUCAGCCAUGCCACCAGACACCUGGGUGAGGGGCUUUUCUCUCAAAAGACAGUCUCCUGUCCCUCAAAUUUUCUCUCUAAUUUCCUAUCUGUGUAGCAUUCAUGAAGCCAGAGUUUUAUACCCUACACUGCAUAAAUGGAGAACAGUGGAGCAGACCUGUGAUCCCAGCACUUGGGAGGUAUGGGAGGUAUAGGCAGGAGAAUCAGGAAUUCAAAACCAUCCUCAUCUACACAGUGAAUUGGAGGCCAGCCUGGACUACCGAGACAAAUGGAAAUAAAGAAAAACUUGAUGACUAGAUCAGUGCUUAAAGCCUUGGCUGCUCUUCCAGAGGACCAAAGUUCUAUUCCCAGGACCCAAUCAGGGGGUUCACAACUCCUCUAAUUCCAACUCAAAAGCUCUAACUCCCUCUUCUGGCCUCCACAGGCAUCUGCAUGUACCUUACUCAUACACAGAGACACAGAAAUUAAAAAAGAAAUGUUUAUAAAGAUGAACAAUACUUGAACUUCCUGUUUCUGUUCUUACAACAUUUCUGAAACUUGAAACACUGUGCAAGUAAAAUUAAGAAGCAGGUGACUAUCUAGCUGACAAUAUGGCAGGGGCAAGAAGGGAACUGAAGAAUAGUGGACACCUAUCAAGUGCCAGCUGAUACCAUGUCCCAACAACAACCCUACUAGACAACCAAACCACAUCUUAAACCUGGGGAAACCAAGACACUUGGUGUUUACUUUUCAUGUCUGAAGUCAUUUGGGAAUUGUUGAGGCAGCACCCACUUCUAGGAAGAUCUGCCAGGUGGAGAAGCUGUAUUUCACACUUAGUGUGUCCCACACAGCCACCUUUCACACAAAACAGCCUCAGGACCGUCCUUGAAGAGAAAGGGGUGACGCAAGGCAGGAAACUGUCCGUCCGUCAAAACCCGUUGCUUCCUUGGUCUCAAAGGCAGGCCUGAGCUCCUUCCAGCCCCACAGACAUCAGCAUUCACCCUGGAAGAAGCAGAGACCCAACCCGAUCUGAGCAGUGUUUUUAUAAAGUCAUGAAAAGAGGCUUUAUUGGAAAAGGCUCAGGCAGGAGGCAGGCAUGGAGCCUGCAACAUGACUGGUGGUUUCCUGUGGGCUCCUGGCAAGCAGUGAUCAUUAGCAGAUUCUGUCCUGGGUUGAGGGUUGGCUCCACAGAUGGGAUUUAUGAAACUUAUAUACAGAACUUUCUUGCAAAGAACAGUGUUAUAGGAUGGAUUACUUGGUUCUGAGGAACAAAGGGGCUGGUUCCUUCUCUGACUUGGGGUUUGUCUUUGUGUUUUUAGAGGAGGCUCCAUGUAGGGCCUCUGGGACCUAACACCAGGAUUUCUGAUCCUUUUUUAAAGCCUACUUUUGCAAAAAAGAAAGAAGUUUAAAGUUAAUCACUAGGUGGGCACUCUCUAAAAGCUCAGCAUACAACACUGGCUAUGUGUAAAUGGGUAUUUAGAGAAACUGCGUGCAGAGAUCAGGGUGUAGCUCAGUAGAUAGAGUACUUGCUUAGCAUGCAUCAAAUCCUGGGUUCAAAUCCCAACACCACAUCAUAAACUGGGUGUAGGGGUGAACACCCAUAAUUCCAACAUUCAGGAGGAGGAAGCAGGAAGAUUUGAAAUUCAAGGUCAUCUUCAGCUACACAGUGAGUUGGAGGCCAGGCACAGCCAAGCACACACACUCCAGCACGCGCGCGCGCGCGCGCGCGCACACACACACACACACACACACACACACACACACACACACGAGGGGGCGCAGGACAAAGAGAGGGAGAGUGAAAAUCAUAUACAGUAUUAUUAUCAAGAGACAGCCAGACGGUUGGAGAGAUGGCUCAGUGGUUAAGAGCACUUGUUGCUCUUGCAGGGGACCAGAGUUCAAGGUCAAGCACACACAUGGUUAACUCCUAACCAUCUGGAACUCCAGUUGCAGGGGAUCUGAUGUCCUCUUCUGACAUCCAAGGGCCCCACGCAUGCACCUGGUGCACAUACAUACAUGCAGGCAAAACAUUCAUGCACAAAAUAAAAUUAAAUCUAGACAAUACAAAGAAACAGGCAGAGUUGCCAGGCUGGUAAGUCGUCUAUCUUUCUCUGUGUGCUGGUAGGUGCAUCCAUGUGCGGCCGUGUGCAUGCACAUACAUGUAUCCAUGCGUGUUCUCACACAGAAACAGACAGAGGUAGACAACGCUUCAGGGAAGGGAACAGAGACCACAUUGGAGGUGGGUGCUUUUGAGCAAACCUCAGCCAAAAUUCUACUUUUGUAUCUGCUGCUCUCUGGCUCCAUAGACUUAGCUGACUUCCUUAAUCCCCCCUCCCACUGAUGUAAGACAGACAGAUUAUAGACCCCUCUGCUCUUUCUGCCCCUGUCUCCCAAGUGCCACUGUUCCUUGUUUAUGGAGUGCUGGUAUUGAUCGGUACAUGUUAGGCAUACUGAGCCAUUUCCCCAGCCCUCGGUUACAUUUUUAACGACAUCAGUUGUCAGUGCUAUGCACUUACAUAGCUUUGACCAGUUCCUUCAAGGCAACACGGAUUUACAAGUUCAACAAGCACCUGACAGAGGCUGCAAGUUCUCGGCCUCCAGAAAACCUGCUCUUUACACCAGUGUCCUCUCCACACCAUUCAAACCUCCCUUCCCUGAUCUCAGCUGCCUUGUCUUUUAAAUGGGACAAACCAGUGCCACACACACACACACACACACACACACACACACGAGAGAGAGAGAGAGAGAGAGAGAGAGAGAGAGAGAGAGAGAGAGAGACCUCAGCCGGAGACUGUUAUGGCCAUUAUACAAAGCAAUGGACCCUUUAACUGGAAAGUUCUCAGGAAAAGGUAGUAACCAAGUUGGGGGCAGAAUUUUUUUCAUGGAACUUUACUUACUUUUAGAUAAGGUUUCACUUUGUAGCUCAGGCUUGUCUUGAACUUGCAAUCCUUCUUCUGCCAACCUCUGGAGUACAGUAAGGAUGGAACCCAGAGCCUCACCUGUUAGACAAGCACUUUACCAUAGAGCUACACCUAUCCCGAGCCUGAGACCUAAGGCUUCGUAUUUUAAAUGCCUACGCUCUAGCCAGCAAGAUGGUUCAGAGGAUAAAGGAGCUUGCUGCCAAACUAGACGAACUGAGUUCGGUCCCCAGAACUGACAUGGUAAAGGAGAUAACCUACUCACACAAGUUGUCCUCUGAUCUCCACACAUGCCAUGGCACACGUGCUCAUGAGCAGGCAGGCACAUGUCCGCACACACAAAAAUAGCAAAAUGUAAAUACAUACGUAAACACACACACACUCUUAAAUUUGUCUGCUAUCUGAUUUCUUUUUUUAUUUUUAUUUUUUUGUGCGUUUUGUUUUCUUCUGUUUCUUGUGCUUUUGUUUGUUUGUGGUGUGUGUGUGUGUGUGUGUGUGUGUGUGAGAGAGAGAGAGAGAGAGAGAGAAAGAGAG
ensembl:lncRNA